CCUACGGGAGGCAGCAGUAAGGAAUAUUGGUCAAUGGAGGCAACUCUGAACCAGCCAUGCCGCGUGCAGGAAGAAGGCCCUAUGGGUCGUAAACUGCUUUUGUACCAGAGAAAACCCGAGUACGUGUACUCGGUUGAUAGUAUGGUAAGAAUAAGCAUCGGCUAACUUCGUGCCAGCAGCCGCGGUAAGACGAAGGAUGCAAGCGUUAUCCGGAUUCAUUGGGUUUAAAGGGUGCGUAGGCGGACUGAUAAGUCAGUGGUGAAAUCUCUCGGCUUAACCGAGAAACUGCCAUUGAUACUGUUAGUCUAGAGUAUAGAUGACGUUGGCGGAAUAUGACAUGUAGUGGUGAAAUACUUAGAUAUGUCAUAGAACACCGAUUGCGAAGGCAGCUAACGAAACUAUAACUGACGCUGAGGCACGAAAGUGCGGGGAUCAAACAGGAUUAGAUACCCUGGUAGUCCGCACCGUAAACGAUGAUUACUCGUUGUUGGCAAUAUGACCGUCAGCGACCAAGCGAAAGCGAUAAGUAAUCCACCUGGGGAGUACGCCGGCAACGGUGAAACUUAAAGGAAUUGACGGCNGAGAGAGCGACGACGACGACGAGGGAGGAGG
rnacentral:rRNA from 1 species